rnacentral:rRNA from 1 species
GAUGAACGCUGGCGGCGUGCCUAAUACAUGCAAGUCGAGCGAACAGAUGAGGAGCUUGCUCCUCUGACGUUAGCGGCGGACGGGUGAGUAACACGUGGAUAACCUACCUAUAAGACUGGGAUAACUUCGGGAAACCGGAGCUAAUACCGGAUAAUAUAUUGAACCGCAUGGUUCAAUAGUGAAAGACGGUUUUGCUGUCACUUAUAGAUGGAUCCGCGCCGCAUUAGCUAGUUGGUAAGGUAACGGCUUACCAAGGCAACGAUGCGUAGCCGACCUGAGAGGGUGAUCGGCCACACUGGAACUGAGACACGGUCCAGACUCCUACGGGAGGCAGCAGUAGGGAAUCUUCCGCAAUGGGCGAAAGCCUGACGGAGCAACGCCGCGUGAGUAAUGAAGGUCUUCGGAUCGUAAAACUCUGUUAUUAGGAAAGAACAAAUGUGUAAGUAACUAUGCACGUCUUGACGGUACCUAAUCAGAAAGCCACGGCUAACUACGUG